GACGAACGCUGGCGGCGUGCUUAACACAUGCAAGUCGAACGGAAAGGCCCUGCUUGCAGGGUACUCGAGUGGCGAACGGGUGAGUAACACGUGGGUGAUCUGCCCUGCACUUCGGGAUAAGCCUGGGAAACGGGGUCUAAUACCGGAAAGGCGUCAUUUUUAGUGUGAUGGUUGGAAAGUUUUUUCGGUGUAGGAUGAGCUUGCGGCCUAUCAGCUAGUUGGUGGGGUAAUGGCCUACCAAGGCGGCGACGGGUAGCUGGCCUGAGAGGGUGGACGGCCACACUGAGUCUGAGAGGAGGCCCAGGCGCCUAAGAGAGGCAGCAGUGGGGAAUCUUGCACAAUGGGCGCCAGCCGGGUGCAGAGAGGCCGCGGAGGGGAUAACGGUCUUCGGGUUGUAAACUCCUUUCGCUAGGGACGAAGCUUUUUGUGACGGUACCUAGAGAAGAAGCACCGGCUAACUACGUG
rnacentral:rRNA from 1 species